AUUUAAUUUAGUGAAAGUUCUAAUAACAACCGGAUAGAUAGAGACUGAUAUCACUACAAGAAUAAUGCCUAAUCUCCGACAGCCAUAGUUUCUCCGUAAUGAGUAUCUCCUACUACAUUCCGACAAUCAAAUUUUAGUUGGAGUUUGGGUCUCGGAAAUCUUAGUUUCUCCGAAAUUAGUCGGAACUCUGUAUUGAAAAUAUACCCGAACAUUCCGAUGAACUUCAGGAAUACAAUCCCAAUAAUUUUCCAAUUCUCCAUAUAAAAAAAUUAACCAUCAAAAUCCUAUAUAAAUAAAAAAAAGAAAUAAAAAUAAACUAUAUUUACUAUUGGUCGGUGUAAAUUGCAACGGUGGUGAGGGUUCCGGAUGCUCUCUCUUCGACAGCGUAGGUGUAGGGUGGAGUGAGCGGAAACGGCGGGGGAGUAAUUGCAGCGAGGGUUGUGGAAGUGCGGUGGUGGCGGUGCAAGGAGUUGCAAAGUUGGCGAUGAGAGAAGUUGCGAUUGUGACGGUGGCAGUGAAAAGGUUGCGGUAGUGACGGCAGUCGUGCAAAGAGUUGAGUGAGUGGUGGUGAUGUUUUGAGCGAUUCACAGAUCUUACUUAGCUAAAAAAAACUACAGAUCUGAAAGAGGCAUAAAGAAAGAGAGAAGGGGAAGAACGAAAGAGAAAAAAGGAAAAAGAAAGAAUAAAUGAAGGAUGCAAAAUUAGGAAAGGAGGAGAAGAAAAGAAAAAACAAUGACCUGCUCUUCGAUUCGAAAAAGAUCAGCUCUUUGCAGAGAUAUGUGGAAGAGAAGAUA
rnacentral:lncRNA from 1 species